AUUCAUCUCAAACCAUCCCUCCAUCCUCACCUCUCACUCCUAGUUUCUAUUCCAGGCCAGAAAUAGGAUAAAAGCCAAAAGAUCAAGACAAGACGGGGUAAACUGGAGCAAAGAAGACAAAUCCAGCUGGAGCCCAGAGGCCUCUGCUUCACUGCUCAGGAGCAACUUGAUUUCUGUUUUGUCCCUCCGACUACGGAGCUCUGGGUCACUGGGCUGAACCACUUAAUGCACCUCACGCCUGGGUCCUCUUGGAAAUGGCUGAAGGCACUUAAAUAGAACUCCCAACCUUUGUCCUCAGCUCUGAAACCACAGGUAAUUCAUGGAUGAACACUUGGUGCACAUAGAAUCUGUACACUCUUCUAUCUGACAUAUGCCACACUGGAUGGAAAUGCUGUAUUUUGCAUGGCUGCUCCCCUAAAGAGACUGGAAACUCCUGGUAAUCAGGAAUGGACUUCAUCAUGGACAUCCCAGGUUUGAGCAGUGGCCGAGUCAAACACUUCUCUGCUGUUUUGAAUCUUUGGA